rnacentral:rRNA from 1 species
AACGAACGCUGGCGGCAUGCCUAACACAUGCAAGUCGAACGAGACCUUCGGGUCUAGUGGCGCACGGGUGCGUAACGCGUGGGAACCUGCCCUUAGGUUCGGAAUAACUCCCCGAAAGGGGUGCUAAUACCGGAUAAUGUCUUCGGACCAAAGAUUUAUCGCCUUUGGAUGGGCCCGCGUUGGAUUAGCUAGUUGGUAGGGUAAAAGCCUACCAAGGCGACGAUCCAUGGCUGGUCUGAGAGGAUGAUCAGCCACACUGGGACUGAGACACGGCCCAGACUCCUACGGGAGGCAGCAGUGGGGAAUAUUGGACAAUGGGCGAAAGCCUGAUCCAGCAAUGCCGCGUGAGUGAUGAAGGCCUUAGGGUUGUGAAGCUCUUUUACCCGGGAUGAUAAUGACAGUACCGGGAGAAUAAGCUCCGGCUAACUCCGUG